rnacentral:rRNA from 1 species
AACGAACGCUGGCGGCAUGCCUAACACAUGCAAGUCGAACGAACCCUUCGGGGUUAGUGGCGCACGGGUGCGUAACACGUGGAAUCUGCCCUUUGCUUCGGAAUAACAGUUAGAAUGACUGCUAAUACCGGAUGAUGUCGUAAGACCAAAGAUUUAUCGGCAAAGGAUGAGCCCGCGUAGGAUUAGGUAGUUGGUGGGGUAAAAGGCCUACCAAGCCGACGAUCCUUAGCUGGUCUGAGAGGAUGAUCAGCCACACUGGGACUGAGACACGGCCCAGACUCCUACGGGAGGCAGCAGUGGGGAAUAUUGGACAAUGGGCGAAAGCCUGAUCCAGCAAUGCCGCGUGAGUGAUGAAGGCCUU